GUUAUUCUUGCGUAGGUUUUGCAUUUUGGGUUCCUAUGUGGAUGUCGUGUUCUGAGGUUCCUCGUGGUAGCAAGUUUUUGAUUAUCCGUGUCUUUUAUUUUAGAUUGACUUCAGAUUGUUUGCCUUGAAAUGGACGUUAUUGUUUCUGGUUGAUUGUCGAAGUGAGAUCUUGGUUAAUGGAUCUCGUAAGAUGAUUAAAGGUCCAAUUGCGUCUUCCUAGAAU
rnacentral:lncRNA from 1 species